AAAUAGAGGGCCAAGGUAUUUUCUAUAAAAAAUAAUAAUGGUCAUGCUUAGUCUAUGGAGAAACUUAAAACAUUGGAGGUUCAACGAUCCAGGCAUGUGGUGCUUGCUCCUAAAGUGAAACGUCUCCCCAAGAAUCGCCUUCUUUCUGAAGUUUUGCCACAAUCCAUUGGAGCAAUGAAACCAUGGAUACGCCAAUUAGUUGAUGUAUAGCCUUUUUUAUAGGUUUGGUAGGAAAUUUUUUUUGUUUAAAUGUAAUCAUUUAAAAUAGUUUGUUCGUACCAAAAAACAUUUGUACUAACGAUUAAAGCAAUAUUAGUAAGUGUUUAUUUCUAUUAAAACGUUCACCUUUUUUCCA